rnacentral:rRNA from 1 species
CCCGCUGAACUUAAGCAUAUCAGUAAGCGGUGGAAAAGAAACUAACAAGGAUUCCCGCAGUAACUGCGAGUGAAGAGGGAUCAGCCCAGCCUUGGAAUCUGCGGCCGGCGGUCGCAGAGUUGUGGGUUGGUGUGCCGAUGCCCUGCGCUUCGACCUCGCCUAACUGGCCCGGAAUGGCCGGACAUAGAGGGUGAUAUUCCUGUGUGGCGGGGUCGUUGCGUUCGGCGCGGCUCGUAGAGUCGGACUGUUUGGGAUUGCAGUUUGAAGUGGGUGGUAGACUCCAUCUAAGGCUAAAUACGAACGAGAGACCGAUAGCGAACAAGUACCGUGAGGGAAAACUGAAAAGGGCCUUGGAAAGGGGGUCAAAAGUCCGUGAAAUUGCUGCCAGGGAACCGGGUGGCUGCGCGGUGUCGGGUGGCUUCUGCCCCCGAACAGUUUCCGGCUUUCUGAGCCGGCGGAGUGUGUAUUCCCAAACUGAGCGCGGCCAGCCGACCCGUCUUGAAACACGG